rnacentral:rRNA from 1 species
UACGUAGGGGGCAAGCGUUGUCCGGAAUCAUUGGGCGUAAAGAGCGUGUAGGUGGCUCGGUAAGUCCGCUGUGAAAGUCCAGGGCUCAACCCUGGAAAGCCGGUGGAAACUGUCGAGCUCGAGUCCGGAAGAGGCGAGUGGAAUUCCUGGUGUAGCGGUGAAAUGCGCAGAUAUCAGGAGGAACACCAAUGGCGAAGGCAGCUCGCUGGGACGGUACUGACACUGAGGAGCGAAAGCGUGGGGAGCGAACAGG